rnacentral:rRNA from 1 species
GAUGAACGCUGGCGGCGUGCUUAACACAUGCAAGUCGAACGAUGAAGCCCAGCUUGCUGGGUGGAUUAGUGGCGAACGGGUGAGUAACACGUGAGUAACCUGCCCUUGACUCUGGGAUAAGCCCGGGAAACUGGGUCUAAUACCGGAUAGGAGCGCCUGUCGCAUGACGGGUGCUGGAAAGAUUUUUCGGUCAUGGAUGGACUCGCGGCCUAUCAGCUUGUUGGUGAGGUAAUGGCUCACCAAGGCGACGACGGGUAGCCGGCCUGAGAGGGUGACCGGCCACACUGGGACUGAGACACGGCCCAGACUCCUACGGGAGGCAGCAGUGGGGAAUAUUGCACAAUGGGCGGAAGCCUGAUGCAGCGACGCCGCGUGAGGGAUGACGGCCUUCGGGUUGUAAACCUCUUUCAGUAGGGAAGAAGCGGAAGUGAAGGUACCUGCAGAAGAAGCACCGGCUAACUACGUG